CCCAGCACAAAGCAGCUGCCAAGGGCUGGUUCCUGCUUCCCAGCGCUUGCCUGCGAUUCAGCACCCGCGCUCGGAAGGACGCUGCCUGGCGAGCAGCAGCUUGGCGCUGCCGCCGCAGGAGGGACUGGCUCUUGCGAAACGAGAUCUCAGUUAAAUCACACUGAAGGCCAAAUUCUGUUGUCAUCAGCAUGUGUGUGGAAACACUGUAAUUUAUAUGCAGCAUAAGAUUGGAUCUUCUUCUUCCUGGAAGCCUAGAUAAGGGAAGGGGUUUGGAAGAGCUUAGGAAGAGGCCCAGAAGAACAGCCAAAGGGCUGAAGAAAGUACCACAAGAAUGGUGUUUUGGGCAAGAAAGACAGAGACUUGGGAGAAAAUCUGGAGAGAACAGGAGCUGCUCAUACAUCUCCUCCAAAGGACCAUGAAAGAAGCCCAGCAAUAAAAACUUCUUGUUGGUCCUGGACCAAAAGAGUGAGCCCUUCACUGAGAGGAAGGCUUUAUAUUUUUGUUGAACUCUUUUUUGAAACUUUAUUUACCUGGGAAGGGGAAGGAGUAACUUUGAUUUAGGCAGAAGCCUAAGCUACCCUCGCAAGAAGAGGGAAACUGAGACAGCAGCUGUACCUGACAGUGAGAGGUGAAUCACACCACUACAGGGACCUAAAGUGGUCACACUUGAAAUCUUUUGAUUUGAAAGUUUUCACUGAUUUGAGGGAGAUUUCCAGUACAUCCAAUAGGCAAUACCACUGACAUCUUUGACAGUCACAUAUUGCCAGUUCCUGCUCCAGGACAUGUCAUGCCAUAUAUUAUCCUGAUGACCUUAGAGCCACCACAGAAUGCCGACAGGGCCAGAGGCAGGUUUAUUUUCAAGCCUCCUGUCAGGGACACAUCAACUUUAAGUAGCAACUGAGACACUGUUGUGCCUGUUCCAAGUUAUACUUUCUGUUAAAAAAAGAAAACUUUGGAAGACAUGAGGAAGAGCAGUACCAGAGGAAAUUUGCUGCACAGUAGUUGUCCACUUUCUGUCGGCCAAAACCCCUUCAAGGGAUGUGAAAUUGCCUCUGAAUUACUACCAGACUAUGUUUUAAACUGGAAUCCAUCAUCUAUCUUUGUCCUCAUGGGCCUGAUCAUGAGCACUGCCUGAGCCAUAUGAAUGCUUAAGAUCCAGGAUCAGACUCAUAAUGUUUAGGAAUUCUUAUAGGACAGACUGCUUGUCUGAUCAAGGGACACUUAUAUGGUGUUAUAGACUCAGACCCUGAAACUGCAAAGAUUUAUGCCUGUGCUUAACUUUAUGUAUGCAAAUAGUCCUUGUAAAGGAUUGGGGCCUAAGUUACAUCACCCUCUUCUGGCUGGACCCAGGCUUGUGCCUGUGGAGCCAGUUCCCGCCCUGGGAAAAUCCUGUCUGGGCCCUUCUCACAGAAUCCAGGGAGAGUAGAUUCCAGUCAGAUUAAUUGCUGUGUAUUUUAUUUCAAGCCUUCUUAAUGUAAACAAGGACCAGUGCUUCACAGCCUCUCCCCAUAAAGUCUGUACAGGUUAAGUCCAUUUCCCUCAAGUCUGUCCCUCACCUCACAAAUUCACCACCCCAAAAGUUCCAGGCUUAUACGUCAGAGCCUUUUUUGUGAUAUUACAGGACUUUCCCCAGUCUCCCUUUUGUCCAUCUGUUUCUUGGAGCUGCUCUUCACAGCAGUUGCUCCAGCCUCUGGCAGAUAGUGCAGACACCCUGCUCCUCUUUUUCUGAGGAUCAGCCAGUUAAGUUGCUGGUAUUUUCCCAGGUGCAGUGGGUGGGGCUAAUUAGCCAGCCAGCUGCAGGCCUCUCACCCCAGAGGAAUACUAUCCCUUAUACCUUCCCAGUCUUAUUAAAAUCAAUCAAUGAAACUACUUUACUAGCAUAAAAUUAAACAUGUUCUUAGGUCUUUGCAAGAUCAGGGCCUUAAAUUGUAAUCCCGCCCACUCCCACCUUCACCACUGAUGUUAUUGUUUUCCCCCUCAUACUUGUCUGUGGAAAAGUCUCAUGCCAUUAAGUUAACACUAUGAUGAUGCAAUUAAUACAAUUCCUAAGAAAUAACAGCAACAGAAUACAUGCUAAAGCAUUAGACAGUGGCUACUCUCUGUGUAGUCUUAAGCUUUACUAGCCAAGAAAAAGAACAAAAGUGAAACCUUGCAUCCUCAGGGUCAGUCACCGCUAGAGAAAGAUGGACCUCUACACAGAACAAUUCUAGUUCUUAUCAAGUGUCUCAAGAAAUUUUGUCAAGUAGCGCACUGUCAUGAUUUCCUUUGGGAACACAUUGAAACACGAAAGAAAACAAGCUUCUUACAACAGCAACAUUCUUAUCAAAUACAAUUAAUGAGCAACUGCCACUUCAUUUAAGUUUGGCUGCAGAGGCAAAGCAUAAUCACCCAGGAAUGUGCUCUCAAAGUGACAUUAUAUAAACAAGUACUGCUAUGUUCCCCUGUUUGCAUGGGACUGUUGCUAAAGAUGUGUAUUUCAUUAGCCAAUAUUCACAUCUUACGCACAUCUGUUUUCCUGCUCUGCUCUUAACUUUUAACUUAUCAUUUUAAUUAGCACCAUGAAAAUGCUAUGCCUUAUCUUCUUGGCUAUUCCUUGUGUAUUUCUGCUCUGCUUUUCCUGUAAAACAGUAGAAUAAAGAUACACUGUAAUGCACAAUGAAAAAGAAAAUAUGACCCUAUUACAAAGGACCCAAGACAUUUGACCAAUUAUACCCUAUUGCAAGCAUGAUUUGAUGUAAUUCCUGUAAGUGCCAUUAAUAAAACCAGAGUUACAGGUGCUGAAUUUCAUUCUAGAAGCAGUAUUUUCCAGAGGAAGUUGUUUCAGAAGUAACUUUAAAAACAAUAGAUACAUUUGACCAUAUUCACCAGUAUAUUCCCGCUUGUACGCACUGCUUUGGCAAUUCAAAACAGCAAUCCAGUUUAACCGGUCAGCUGAGCUCAGUUUAUGCCGCUUUGCCUUGUUGGAACAGUGCAAAACAGCUAGAAAGCACUGGUGGAUCUGGCCCUCUAUAUACUGAAAAAGCAAUAAAAGCUAUGUAAAAUCUUCCCCAUGUGUCUUGGAGUGUUAUUGCUUGGUUGUGUAAGGAAAUGGUCACCUUAAAAUUUCAAAUGCUAUUUGGGACUAGAUUCCCUGGUACGUCUGGCCGCUUGAUGCUGCUCUGGUGAUGUGAAAGAGCAGUAAACUGGCUGACUAACUAAAUGAAAUGUAUGGCUGCUUUGCAUAUCUUGAAUGGUCCAAACAGUCAGAGUAUACUGGUGCA